rnacentral:rRNA from 1 species
AGAGUUUGAUCAUGGCUCAGAGUGAACGCUGGCGGCAGGCCUAACACAUGCAAGUCGAACGGCAGCACAGCAGUAGCAAUACUGUGGGUGGCGAGUGGCGGACGGGUGAGGAAUACAUGGGAAUCUGCCCUGUCGUGGGGGAUAACGUAGGGAAACUUACGCUAAUACCGCAUACGACCGGAAGGUGAAAGCGGCGGACCGCAAGGCGUCGCGCGAUUGGAUGAGCCCAUGUCGGAUUAGCUAGUUGGCGGGGUAAAGGCCCACCAAGGCGACGAUCCGUAGCUGGUCUGAGAGGAUGAUCAGCCACACUGGAACUGAGACACGGUCCAGACUCCUACGGGAGGCAGCAGUGGGGAAUAUUGGACAAUGGGCGCAAGCCUGAUCCAGCCAUGCCGCGUGAGUGAAGAAGGCCUUCGGGUUGUAAAGCUCUUUUGUCCGGAAAGAAAAGCCUUCGGUUAAUACCCGGGGGUGAUGACGGUACCGGAAGAAUAAGCACCGGC